rnacentral:rRNA from 1 species
UACGGGGGGGGUAAGCGUUGUUCGGAAUUACUGGGCGUAAAGGGCGCGUAGGCGGCGUGUCAAGUCAGGCGUGAAAGCCCCGGGCUCAACCUGGGAACCGCGCUUGAGACUGGCAUGCUCGAGUUCGGGAGAGGAUGGUGGAAUUCCCAGUGUAGAGGUGAAAUCCGUAGAUAUUGGGAAGAACACCGAUGGCGAAGGCAGCCAUCUGGGCCGACACUGACGCUGAGGCGCGAAAGCGUGGGGAGCAAACAGG